rnacentral:rRNA from 1 species
AUUGAACGCUAGCGGGAUGCUUUACACAUGCAAGUCGAACGAGUGGCGGACGGGUGAGUAAUAUAUCGGAACGUGCCCAGUAGCGGGGGAUAACUACUCGAAAGAGGGGCUACUCACGCAUACCAUUUGAACGGCCGAUAUCGGAUUAGCUGGUUGGUGGUGGAAAGGCUAACCAAGGCAAAGAUCCGUAGCAGGUUUGAGAGGAGGACCAGCCACACUGGGACUGAGAGACGGCCCAGACUCCUACGGGAGGCAGCAGUGGGGAAUUUUGGACAAUGGGGGAAACCCUGAUCCAGCCAUCCCGCGUGUAUGAGAAGGCCUUCGGGUUGUAAAGUACUUUUGGCAGAGAAGCGGUAUCUGCAGAAUAAGCACCGGCUAACUACGUGCCAGCAGCCGCGGUAAUAC